CAUACUGUAAUUUGAUAAAUGAAAUUAGACUGUGAUGACCAUAUGUUUAAAAAUUAGAUGCGGAUACUGUCGUUCAUUAUUGUUUUUCGCUUUAUUCUCGAAUGUGGUUGUCCAUACUCCGAUUUAAUGUUUUUAGUUGUUCUGAGGCCUAUUUGUUAUAUACAUAAUGUAUAUUUCUAUUUGUAGUUUAAAUUAUUCUGAUGUGUUCCAAUAACAGAGUCCAUUGUCAAAUUAGAUACUGAUUCGAGAAAAAAACUUCUGAAACUAUCUAAAAAAAAAAUGAAAUUCUUCUCUAAGAAGGAUAAAUUUGGCCUUUACAUAAGGUGCACAAUUCAUUACAAGAAUUUGAAAGAAUUAGAAAUUGAAACGGAGGAAGAAUCAAAUGAUUCACAGUGGCAGUCCUACCAAGA